UCUUUCAAACAGGAGCAAGGAGACGACUUACUUUUAAACAAAAGCAAGGAGACGACGCACUUGUUUGUUUGCUACUCUUGCUUGGCUUUCAUACUUGCAAGCUCUUCAUACUGAUCCUCAAUUUCCCUAAAGAACUUUGAACCAUGGUAGCGGAGGUCUUCCUCGGUGCAUUCCUUCAGUUACUGCUCGACAGGUUAACUCCUCAUCACGAUUUGCUCAACUUGGCGCGCCUGCAUGGCGUCGACAAGAAACUCAAGAAAUGGAGUCCAGCGCUGUCUGCAAUCGGAGCGGUGCUGCAGGACGCGGAGGACAAGCAACUGAAGAGCGAGGCUGUGAAGCUAUGGCUGGAUGAACUCAAACACUUGGCUUUUGACAUGGAUGACAUCUUGGACACCUUUUCCACCGAGCUGUUGCGGCGCAACGUGAUGAAUCAGCAACAUGCGUGGCUUACGAGUAAGGUACGGGGAGCUAAGUUCAAUUUCAAUAUGAAUUCGGAGAUCAAGGAGAUUAGUGAUAGGUUGGUAGAGAUAUCUGAAAGAAAGGACUUGCUUGGGUUGAAUUAUGUUGUGAAUAAAUGUAGUCAGGUGUGGCAAAGGCCGCCGAGUUCAUGUGUGUUAGAUGGGCCUGUGGUUGGUAGGGAUGAUGAUAAAAGGAAGAUUGUUGAGGUGUUAUUGAGGGAUGAUCAGCCUAGUAGUGUCAAUUUCCAUGUGGUUGCCAUUGUGGGUAUGCCAGGACUUGGAAAGACUACAAUUGCAGGUCAUGUCUUCAAUGAUGAUGCAAUGGAACGGUUUAGUCCCAAAGUAUGGGUAUCUGUGUCUGAUAACUUCAAUCUUGUGAGAGUGACAAAGGCAAUUCUGGAAUCAGUUACAUCUGCACGCUGUGAUUUGGAGGAGUUCAGUCAAAUUCAGGAGAUUCUGAGCAAGGCAUUGGCAAGUAAAAAGUUUUUGGUUGUUUUAGAUGAUGUCUGGAACACAUGUGACUAUGAUCUAUGGGCAAAGCUGCAGUCUGCCUUUCGUGGUGGAGCAUUGGGAAGUAAGGUAAUUGUGACAACUCGUGACACACAAGUUGCUAAGAUGAUGAGAUCCAUUGAAGUUCAUAACUUGGGGUGCAUGUCAGAUGAUGAUUGCUGGGAAGUCUUUGGGCAACAUGCAUUCUUGAAUGUUGAGAAUGGGAGACUGCAAAGCUUUGAGUUGUUUCGGGAGAAAGUUGUAGCAAAAUGUGGUGGGUUGCCCUUGGCUGCAAGAGUCCUUGGUGGUCUUUUAGGCUGUAAAGAGAUAGACGAAUGGGAAGAAAUAUUGAACAGUAAAUUAUGGAGUCUAUGUGAUAACAGUGGCAUUCUCCCAGUAUUAAAAUUGAGCUAUCACUAUCUCUCUUCAAAUUUGAAAAGGUGCUUUGCCUAUUGCUCAAUACUUCCAAAUGACUAUGAAUUUGGGGAGAGGCAGUUGAUCCUUCUAUGGAUGGCAGAGGGUCUCAUUCAGCAGUCACAUGAAUGUAAACAACUGGAAGAUUUAGGGAGUAACUAUUUUCGGGAGCUAUUGUCCAGGUCAUUGUUUCAAAGGUCCAGUAAAAACCAUUCACAAUUUGUUAUGCAUGACCUUGUUGGUGAUUUGUCACGGUGGGCUGCAGGAGACAUGUGUUUCAGAUUGGAGGAUAAGCUGGAUGUUAGAUGUUCUUCAAAGGUUCGCCAUUCCUCUUACAUUCCUGGUCAAUUUGAUGGGGUUCAAAAAUUCAAAGAAUUUUUUGAAGUCAGGCAUUUGCGGACUUUCUUACCACUUUCACUUUCAGGUCGAUCAAAUUAUCUAACUCGUAAUGUUACUUUUGAUCUAUUACCAAAGUUGAAGUACUUGAGGGCACUCUCUUUUAAUGGCUAUCAAAUAACUGAGUUACCCAAUUCUAUUGGUAAGCUGAAGCAUCUGCGGUACCUUGAUCUUUCUCACACACAGAUAACAACUUUGCCAGAAUCAACCAGCAAUCUGUACAACUUGCAGACAUUGAUAUUAGAAAAUUGUGCUUGUUUGAAGACACUGCCUGCAGACAUGAGGAAUCUAACUGAUCUGCGGCACCUUAACAAUUCAGUUGUACCUUCAUUGGAAGAAAUGCCUGUGAAACUAGGUAGAUUGACUAAUCUUCAAACACUGAGUACUUUUGUGCUGGGCAAAGGUAGCAAGUCAGGAAUAAGUGAGAUAGGUCCUUUAUUGUGUCUCCAAGGGACAUUGUGCCUCUCAAGAUUGGAGAAUGUGAGUGAUGUUGAUGAUGCAAGGAGGGCUGACUUGACUGGCAAGGAAGGGAUUGAUUCAUUGCAACUAGAAUGGAGAGAAUCAGGAGAAAGGGAAUCAGAUGUUUUUGAAAUGUUAAAACCUCAUAGGAAGCUCAAAGUGCUCACUGUAAAAGGUUAUGGAGGUCUUACAUUUUCAACAUGGACUGGACACCCUUCAUUCUCUUAUAUGACGCAUGUAAAGUUGGAACAUUGUAAAAAUUGUCGAUUCUUGCCUCCACUUGGACAGUUGUCUUCUCUGAAAGAACUUUGUAUAAAAGGAAUGUCUACAGUGGAAAGCGUGGGUCUUGAGUUUUAUGGAGAGAGUAGCCUGCCUUUUCCUGUAUUGGAGACCCUGGAGUUCAAGGAUAUGCAGAAAUGGAGGGAGUGGCUUCCUCGGGUGCAAGAUCAAGGAAUUGAAGUUUUCCCUUGCUUGAAAAUGGUUUGUAUCUCUGGAUGCCCCAUACUGGAGGGGAGAUUACCUGAAAACCUUGAUCUAUUAUCGAAGCUUGCCAUUGAUAGAUGCGGGCAAUUGGUGGUUUCAAUUGCCAGUUAUAAACGUCUUCGUGAUUUGAAAAUUCAUGCUUGCAAAAUGCUGGUACAUACAAGUGGGGUUCAAUUUGAGUUACCAGAGGUGAUGGAGCUUUCAUGUAUUUCAGAGUUUAGACUCCACAUGGACGGAUUCAAGAGAGACUUAACAAAGCUUAAAAAUCUGAGAAUUACUAGUUGUGAGGAGCUGACAUCUUUAUGGAAAAAUGAGGAUAGAUUGCUGCAACGUCCGAUUUAUGAAGGAAACAGCUCUCACUCUUACUUUGUUCAAGAGCUGAAGUCACUUCAAUGUCUUCACAUAAAUGAUUGCUCAAAUCUAGUUUCUUUUUCAAAGGUUAGCCUGCCACCUUCUCUUAAAGAAAUAAAGAUUGAGCGGUGCAGUUCUCUUAUAAGAUACCAGAUACCCCCAAACGUAAGAAGUCUAUACAUCGAUUCCUGCAUAAACUUGGAAUCAUUAGUGGGGGAGGACAAGGAAGGUGAGGAUCCUUCAUCUUCCUUUUCUCCUUGUUUGAUACAAGAGGAGGCAUCCUGCCUCGAGUACUUGAGCAUAGUGAAUUGUCUAUCUCUUACAACCUUAUCAUCCACAGGCCAGCUAGCCAGGGGACUUAAACAUCUUAUCAUAAGUCAUUGUCACCAGCUAGAAUCAAUAACUGAUAGCUUCCACGUUAACACCUUCCUUGAAGAAAUUGUGAUUAGGAGUUGUGGAAAUCUUAAAUCGUUACCAGAGGGCUUAUGUGACCUCACCAAUCUUCAAGUCUUUAAGAUUUGGGACUGUGAAAGUCUUGUUUCUUUCCCAAGAGGAGGGUUGCCAACAAGAACCUCCAGCUUGAAAGAGAUCGAGGUUAUGAAUUGUGAUAACUUAGAGGCCCUUCCUAAAGACAUGCAGAACCUCCACUGUCUUCAGAGUUUGAGGAUUUCAUACUGUGACGGUUUCGCUCCAUUUCUAGACAAGGGUUUGCCAUCCAACCUAACAUUCCUUGAGAUUCGAAAUCUCAACAGUUGUAGGCCACUCCUGGAAGCUCAAGGAUUGCACAGACUCACUUCUCUUAGAGCGUUGGAUAUCAGGGGAAAUGAUUCACAACUAGUGUCAUUUCCACCUGACAAGGAGAUGGUGCUCCCCAAAUCUCUCAUUCUACUUCAUAUUGCAGGGUUCCCGAAUCUGAGGCACCUAUCCAGCAAGGGCUUUCAGUUCCUCCCCUCUCUUGAAUCUCUUCAAGUCUUCAGCUGUCCAAAGCUAGCAUCCAUUCCUGAGGAGGGACUCCCUCUUUCACUUACACAACUUCAUAUCUUUGGUUGUCCACUGCUAGUAAAGAACUGCAGACCUGGAAAAGGACAAUACUGGCACUCCAUAGCUCGCAUCCCUUUCAUAUGGAUUAAGGGUGAUAAGGGAGAAGACAUAUUUAGAAGCUGAGAAUCCAUGCCUCUUAAUCUCAUACUGCUCUCCAAGCUUCAGUGUAUAUGUUAGUCGGUGUGUAGGUUUCAGAACCAUACUAAAUUGUGGAGCAUGUUGGCUUGAACAAUGGUGUACUGUCAAUAGGCUCACAUUCUUUGGCAUUGACAGAUGGGUUCCCAAGUCUCAAGAGCUGAGUUGAUGCUAAGGAUAGGGUGGCUGCUGCAAAGCUAUUAACGUCCAUCUUGGAUCCAUGAAGCAGUACAGAAAAAAGACAAAGAAUUUUAAACAGCAACAAGGAGCUAGAGACAGAAUGGUCCUUCCUAAUAGUUGCCAUUUGCUGUGCUUGGAUUCAAAUUUUCUUUAGGAAAGUAAGCAAUUGUAUGGAAUUCAAUCCUAGUUUUCACAACAUCAAUGAAGAGGAAAAUUGACCGCAAAUGUUCAAAUGUUUCUGUAGGCAAGUAAGCAAUUUUAUGAUUCCCAUUUUCAGCUGAAAGUAUGUAAUUUUGUUGAACAUUCAGCAGAUAAUUCUUAGUUUGUAGAA